rnacentral:rRNA from 1 species
CAUGCAAGUCGAGCGGUAAGGCCCUUCGGGGUACACGAGCGGCGAACGGGUGAGUAACACGUGGGUGAUCUGCCUCGUACUCUGGGAUAAGCCUGGGAAACUGGGUCUAAUACCGGAUAUGACCACGAAUCGCAUGGUUUGUGGUGGAAAGAUUUAUCGGUGCGAGAUGGGCCCGCGGCCUAUCAGCUUGUUGGUGGGGUAAUGGCCUACCAAGGCGACGACGGGUAGCCGACCUGAGAGGGUGACCGGCCACACUGGGACUGAGACACGGCCCAGACUCCUACGGGAGGCAGCAGUGGGGAAUAUUGCACAAUGGGCGAAAGCCUGAUGCAGCGACGCCGCGUGAGGGAUGACGGCCUUCGGGUUGUAAACCUCUUUCGACAGGGACGAAGCGCAAGUGACGGUACCUGUAGAAGAAGCACCGGCCAACUACGUGCCAGCAGCCGCGGUAAUACGUAGGG